GAUGAACGCUAGCGGCAGGCUUAACACAUGCAAGUCGAGGGGUAACAGAGUAGCUUGCUAUUGCUGACGACCGGCGCACGGGUGCGUAACGCGUAUACAACUUGCCUUAUACAGGAGAAUAGCCCAGAGAAAUUUGGAUUAAUGCUCCAUAGUAUCACAGUCUCGCAUGAGAUUAUGAUUAAAGCUUCGGUGGUAUAAGAUGGGUAUGCGUUAGAUUAGCUAGUUGGUGAGGUAAUAGCUCACCAAGGCGACGAUCUAUAGGGGGCCUGAGAGGGUGAUCCCCCACACUGGUACUGAGACACGGACCAGACUCCUACGGGAGGCAGCAGUGAGGAAUAUUGGUCAAUGGACGCAAGUCUGAACCAGCCAUGCCGCGUGCAGGAAGACGGCCUUAUGGGUUGUAAACUGCUUUUAUAUAGGAAGAAACGUUUCUACGUGUAGAGAUUUGACGGUACUAUAUGAAUAAGGACCGGCUAACUCCG
rnacentral:rRNA from 1 species